rnacentral:rRNA from 1 species
UGGGCACCUGAUCAUUCAUGCCGCGUGAGUGAAGAAGGCCUUCGGGUUGUAAAGCUCUUUUGUCAGGGAAGAAACAGCAGCUCUAACACAGUCUGCGAAUGACGGUACCUGAAGAAUAAGCACCGGCUAACUACGUGCCAGCAGCCGCGGUAAUACGUAGGGUGCGAGCGUUAAUCGGAAUUACUGGGCGUAAAGCGUGCGCAGGCGGUUUUGUAAGCCAGAUGUGAAAUCCCCGGGCUUAACCUGGGAAUGGCGUCUGUGACUGUAUAGCUAGAGUGUGUCAGAGGGGGGUGGAAUUCCACGUGUAGCAGUGAAAUGCGUAGAUAUGUGGAGGAACACCAGUGGCGAAGGCAGCCCCCUGGGAUAACACUGACGCUCAUGCACGAAAGCGUGGGGAGCAAACAGGAUUAGAUACCCUGGUAGUCCACGCCCUAAACGAUGCUGACUAGUUGUUGGGAAUCUACAUUCUCAGUAACGUAGCUAACGCGUGAAGUCAGCCGCCUGGGGAGUACGGUCGCAAGAUUAAAACUCAAAGGAAUUGACGGGGACCGCACAAGCGGUGGAUGAUGUG